rnacentral:lncRNA from 1 species
CCAAGUGCCCGCUCCAGCCCCACCACUGACCCCGCCUGGCCCACAAAUGCCCAGCAGCCCUCAAGUGACUCCCUUGCCCACAAGGGCUCCUCUGUUGCCUCACCCAGUGGCUCCUGCAACGGCGCCUCCUGUAGGGCAUCAUGAGCACUGCUCCUGAUUGGCUGAGGGGCCUCACACCGGUCACGUGACCUGAAGCCCGGCCCUCCCCGGCGCAGGGGCUCAGGAAGCGCCUCCGGUGCAGACGGCGGGGCGCCCCGGGAGUCACGUGACUCCCACCAUGGCACACACUGCAGAUGCCCGAGGCAGUCAUGUGACCCCCAAAAUGGCUCCUGCCGCAAAGGUUCGUGGGACCCUCGCUUUCCACCGGGUGCCGCCCCCUGGUGCAGAGAUGCACAGCAGCUGCUGCUGAUUUGCCACGGCGCGUCACGGGACUGGAUGGCAGAAGAUGGGAUCUGGUGGUUCCUCCUUCCCUUCUUUGAAGAUACCCACUCUUUUUGAUAUGUUUUGGGCAAAAAAGGGCUAUUUUGUUGUUUUGUAGUAUUAAAAAGAAAAUCCCUGAAAAUAUUAAAAUAUUUUUGAUCCUUUAAAACUGUCUUUUAUUUGUUUAGUUAGAAUUUUAUAUAUUUUUAUAUACAUAUAUAGUUGUAUAUGCAUUUUUUCUUAUGCAAAAUAAUUUUAAAAUUAAUUGGCUAAUAAUAAUAUUAAAUAGUGUAAUUAAAUAACAUAAUACUGAUUAAUAGGAGAAUAAUUUCUUAUUAAUACUUAUCUAUAUUUUUAUGUGUUGUGGAUCUAUUAAUAAUAUACAUACACUACAAUAGGGAUAUAAAUAACCUCUACUGUAAUUCUAUAAAAAAUACAACAUACGAUCUGCUAUAAUUAUGUUGUUAUUAUUGUUAUUCUUGAUUUGCAUUUUAUAGUAAAAAUUUCUGUGAAAAUUAAAUAUAAAAUUAUUUAAAAGUUUAUAUGGAUGCAUAAAAGAUGUGAAAUAUAAAAACAUCUAAUAUAUUUAUAUUAGCAUAAUAUAUUAGUGUAUUUAUUACUGUAUAUUCUUAUAUUAACUAAUAUAUAGCACACUACAUAUUGGUAUUAGAUAUAACUAUAUCUAGUUAUUGAAAGAUAAUUAUAAAAGAUAAAAUUAAUAUAAAUUGCUAAAAAUAUAAUUAUAUACAAUUCGGGAUUAUUUUACAAUGUAAUAUGACAUUAGUUGCAUGGUAGUAUUAAGUUGCAUAAUAUUAUAUGAAUGACAUUAUUGUAUUAUAAUGUAUUAUAACUGUAUAAAAUUUAUUAAUAUUAUACUUAAUAACAUUAUUAUAUAUUAUUUUAAUUUAUGUUAGAAUGUAAUAUCCCCUAUUAUAAUUGUUAUAUUAAUUACGUAUUAUGAUAAGGACUGUAUGCAAUGUAGUAUAAUAUAAUGAUAAAUUAAUUCUAUUCUGGUCUCUAAUAUACUAAUAUAAUUUUGCUCCUUACUGCUUAUUUUUCCUGAUUUUGACCAUUUUUUCCCCCAAACCGUUCCUAUGAAAACAAGAAAUAAAAUUAUUCUAAAUCACUAUCUGUAUAAUUUU